rnacentral:rRNA from 1 species
UACGAAGGGGGCUAGCGUUGUUCGGAAUCACUGGGCGUAAAGCGCGCGUAGGCGGACUGGUAAGUCAGGGGUGAAAUCCCGGGGCUCAACCUCGGAAUGGCCUUUGAUACUGUCAGUCUAGAGUCCGGGAGAGGUGAGUGGAAUUCCUAGUGUAGAGGUGAAAUUCGUAGAUAUUAGGAAGAACACCAGUGGCGAAGGCGGCUCACUGGCCCGGAACUGACGCUCAGGUGCGAAAGCGUGGGGAGCAAACAGG